AACAACUUUAUUCAACAUAAACUAUAUCCAGGAAGGCUUCUAGCUGAUUUCAAAAAUGAGCCCCUUCCUCCUCCACCCAGGGGAGGCCCAACUGCACCAGGCCAUUCCACUGCUUCAGGACGCAACUGUGCAGGGAGUCCCCACGCCACCGCCACGUGGACGCAGUAGCCGUGGGGAAGUUUUCGCAAUGGCCGCCGGAACGGUCGCCGGCCGAUGCUCUCUGCGACGGAAAGAAAGCCGCCGGACCCACUUCCGGUGCGUUUUACAAUGAACUCCGGGCACUCGAGUCGCUCCCCGGAAACUAUAGUUCUGCUUCCACCGUUGUCCUACUUUGGAUAGCAUCAAGACAAAAAUCUCAGUCUUCGAGGAACUCACAGUGUAGCAGAAAAGACAAAGGAGGUAAACAGGAGGAGCAUGAAUAAUUCAUCUUGAUGUAAUCAUGCAAGACUCCUAAGAAGAUGUUAGGAGACCCUGUCAUCAUUCUUUUGGCCUCUAGUGUCCUUUAUCUUCAUGUUUGCUGGCUUCCUUUUACUACUAUGGAAAUACAACAUAUGCAAAAGUAGUGUUUUCACUGUUUAAAAACAUCGUCAGCAGCAUCAUCAUCAUUAACUGCACCAGGAAGCCAUGACUCCUUUCUGGACAAGGUGCACUUGCCUGUCAUCCUUCCAUCUCUUUCUUCCUCCUUGAAGUUCACAAUACCCAGUCCAGGAGCAUUGCAGAGAAUGCUAGGUGUGUCUGCAGACUUGACUUUAAAAGAAAACAAGUUCCUUCAAGUGAGUUCAUCAUGAUGGGAAUGAUAAUUUGUUUGAGAGAAUGUGUGUUCUUUGGCAAAGGAACUCCUGUUAUACCAUGACAGUAAUAAUAGCAGUAAUAAAAUCACCAAUAAUAAAUUUACUUUUGAAUUUA
rnacentral:lncRNA from 1 species